CCUACGGGUGGCUGCAGUGGGGAAUAUUGGGCAAUGGAGGCAACUCUUACCCAGCAAUGCCGCGUGAAUGAAGAAGGUCUUCGGAUUGUAAAGUUCUUUAAUUGGGGACGAAAAAAGUGACGGUACCCAAGGAUUAAGCCCCGGCUAACUACGUGCCAGCAGCCGCGGUAAUACGUAGGGGGCAAGCGUUAUUCGGAUUGACUGGGCGUAAAGGGUGGGUAGGCGGGGUAGCAAGUUAGAAGUUGAAAACCUGGAGCUCAACUCAGGUGCUGCUUCUAAAACUGCUAUACUUGAGUGCAGGAGAGGCAAGUGGAAUUCCUAGUGUAGCGGUGGAAUGCGUAGAUAUUAGGAGGAACACCAGUGGCGAAGGCGACUUUCUGGACUGUAACUGACGCUGAGGCGCGAAAGUGUGGGGAGCAAACAGGAUUAGAUACCCGAGUAGUC
rnacentral:rRNA from 1 species